rnacentral:rRNA from 1 species
AAGUAGAUAAGGGCGCAUGGGGGAUGCCUAGGUUCUCAGAGGCGAUGAAGGACGUGCUAAGCUGCGAAAAGCUACGGGGAACUGCACAGAAGUAUUGAUCCGUAGAUAUCCGAAUGGGGCAACCCGGCAGAUUGAAGAUCUGUCACCGAGAGGAGCAAACCCGGGGAACUGAAACAUCUAAGUACCCGGAGGAAGAGAAAACAAUAGUGAUUCCGCAAGUAGUGGCGAGCGAACGCGGACUAGCCCAAACCCAAGUAGUUACGGCUGCUUGGGGGUUGUAGGACUGUGAUGUGGACUGUACAAAAGAACUGGAAUGAUUUGGGAAAGUCAGCCAGAGAGGGUGAGAGCCCCUUACAGGUAAAGUUGUACUACCUAACAGUAUCCUGAGUAGGGCGGAACCGGAGAAAUUCCGUCUGAAUUUGCCAGCACCAUCUGGUAAGGCUAAAUACUCCUGAGAAACCGAUAGUGAACCAGUACCGUGAGGGAAAGGUGAAAAGCACCCCGAUGAGGGGAGUGAAAGAGACCCUGAAACCGAACGUCUACAAGCAGUGGAAGACCGCAAGGUCGACCGCGUACCUUUUGUAUAAUGGGUCAUCGACUUGGUCUAUCUAGCAAGCUUAAGCCGUUAGGUGUAGGCGUAGCGAAAGCGAGUCUGAAUAGGGCGACCGAGUACGUAGCAUUAGACCCGAAGGCAAGUGAUCUAGGUAUGGGCAGGGUGAAGGUGCAGUAACAUGCACUGGAGGCCCGAACCGUUGAGCGUUGAAAAGCUCUCGGAUGACCUGUGCCUAGGGGUGAAAGGCCAAUCAAACUGAGAGAUAGCUCGUACUCCCCGAAAUGCUUUUAGGAGCAGCGUGUGGAGAUGUUUGUUAGAGGUAGAGCUACCGAUUGGACUAGGGGGAGUCACAUCCUACCAAAUCCAGACGAACUCCGAAUGCUAAUAAAUUAUCCAUGCAGUGAGGGUUAGGGUGCUAAGGUCCUAAUCCGAGAGGGAAAGAACCCAGACCUACGGCUAAGGUCCCUAAAUCCGCGCUAAGUUGAACUAAGGAGGUCCAAUUGCUUAGACAGCCAGGAUGUUGGCUUGGAAGCAGCCAUUCAUUUAAAGAGUGCGUAACAGCUCACUGGUCGAGCGAUAGGGCAUCGAUAAUAAUCGGGCAUUAAGUGCGGUACCGAAGCCUAGGAUAGUAAUAUGGUAGGGGAGCAUUCUCUGUGCGGCGAAGGUGUGCUGUGAGGCAUGUUGGAGCGCAGAGAAGCGCAAAUGUAGGCAUAAGUAACGAUAAUGCGGGCGAGAAACCCGCACACCGAUAGACUAAGGUUUCCCCGGCAAUGCUAAUCAGCCGGGGGUUAGUCGGGGCCUAAGGCGAACCCGAGAGGGGUAGUCGAUGGAUAAUCGGUUAAUAUUCCGAUACUACCCAUAACUGCGAUGGGGUGACGGAGGAGUGAAAGUCUCGCGUACUGACGGAAUAGUACGUUGAAGCGUGUAGGUAUAUUGGAUGUAGGCAAAUCCGCAUUCGAUGCUGAACGUGAUAGUACCACAACGCUACGGCAGCGUGGAUAGUAGACCUAAUCAGACUUCCGAGAAAACCCUCUAAGCUACAGGUUAUGGGUACCCGUACCGUAAACCGACACAGGUAGUCAAGGAGAGAAUCCUGAGGUGCUCGAGUGAUUCAUGGCUAAGGAACUAGGCAAAAUGACCCUGUAACUUCGGGAGAAGGGGUCCCUACGUGAGUAGGGCGCAGCGAAACGAUCCAGGCGACUGUUUAUCAAAAACACAUGGCUUUGCGAACUUGAAAGAGGAAGUAUAAGGCCUGACACCUGCCCGGUGCUGGAAGGUUAAGGGGGGGAGUUAGCUUCGGCGAAGCUCUGAACUGAAGCCCCAGUAAACGGCGGCCGUAACUAUAACGGUCCUAAGGUAGCGAAAUUCCUUGUCGGGU